CUACACUCCUACGGGAGGCAGCAGUGGGGAAUUUUGGACAAUGGGCGAAAGCCUGAUCCAGCAAUGCCGCGUGUGUGAAGAAGGCCUUCGGGUUGUAAAGCACUUUUGUCCGGAAAGAAAUCCUUGGCUCUAAUACAGUCGGGGGAUGACGGUACCGGAAGAAUAAGCACCGGCUAACUACGUGCCAGCAGCCGCGGUAAUACGUAGGGUGCGAGCGUUAAUCGGAAUUACUGGGCGUAAAGCGUGCGCAGGCGGUUUGCUAAGACCGAUGUGAAAUCCCCGGGCUCAACCUGGGAACUGCAUUGGUGACUGGCAGGCUAGAGUAUGGCAGAGGGGGGUAGAAUUCCACGUGUAGCAGUGAAAUGCGUAGAGAUGUGGAGGAAUACCGAUGGCGAAGGCAGCCCCCUGGGCCAAUACUGACGCUCAUGCACGAAAGCGUGGGGAGCAAACAGGAUUAGAUACCCGGGUAGUCCCAU
rnacentral:rRNA from 1 species